UGAGUAACGCGUGGAUAUCUGCCUUUUGGUUCGGAAUAACCCCGGGAAACUGGGGCUAAUACCGGAUGGUUCCUACGGGAUAAAGAUUUAUCGCCAAAAGAUGAGUCCGCGUACGAUUAGCUAGUUGGUGAGGUAAUGGCUCACCAAGGCGACGAUCGUUAGCUGGUCUGAGAGGACGAUCAGCCACACUGGGACUGAGACACGGCCCAGACUCCUACGGGAGGCAGCAGUGGGGAAUAUUGGACAAUGGGGGCAACCCUGAUCCAGCCAUGCCGCGUGAGUGAUGAAGGCCUUCGGGUUGUAAAGCUCUUUUGGCGGGGACGAUGAUGACGGUACCCGCAGAAUAAGCCCCGGCUAACUUCGUGCCAGCAGCCGCGGUAAGACGAAGGGGGCUAGCGUUGUUCGGAAUUACUGGGCGUAAAGCGAGUGUAGGCGGUUAUCCAAGUUGGAUGUGAAAGCCUUGAGCUUAACUCAAGAAAUGCAUUCAGGACUGGAUGACUAGAGGACCGGAGAGGAUAGUGGAAUUCCCAGUGUAGUGGUGAAAUACGUAGAGAUUGGGAAGAACACCAGUGGCCGAAGGCGGCUAUCUGGACGGUACUGACGCUAAG
rnacentral:rRNA from 1 species